rnacentral:tRNA from 1 species
AUUCCUUUAGUUUAUUAAUAAAAUAUAACUCUGAAGAAGUUAAGAAUGUUUGGGAAUG